CAAAAACAUAAUAUUUUAUGUAAAUUUAUUCCCGCAAAAAAAGCGCAAAACAAUGCGACUCAUGCACCAAGGGGCCAGAAUAUACCAUCUUCUAAAGCUGCCUUAACCAAUCUAUUUAAAAUACUAAUGGCUGUGCAGGAGACACUACCCUAACCUUAAUUAAAUCACCCUCCAGUUUCAAUUUUUUGUUUAUUUACUGUAUGAAGUAUAACCUAAAUAAUUAUUUACAUUUAAUAUUAUUCUUAAAUUAAAUCAUAUUUGUUAAACUCUGAAUGGUCCUGAGUGCAGUCUAUAAUGCAGGAGGUAGACAAAUGUCCUUUGUGUAGACAAGCACUAACUGUUCAACAAAUAAAUUUUAAAUCGGCAAUAGUGAUGUGUCUUAACACUAAGUGCCCCUACCCUUUUCCUGGAGAGUCUAUAGUUAUUAACCGAAGUAUGAAAGACAUUAAAAAAUCCAUAGAUAUAAAAAAGCUAGUUGAAAAUGAAAGGGUUACAAAUGCAAGGAAUUUACAAAAUUCAGAAUACAUAUUUACUUCGGAAUUAGAAGACGCAAUAAUUUCACAAGAAAUUUAUCAAAACAGGGAGAAGAGUGUGAUAGAGAGUGAAAGUGGCUGUUCAAAACAAAGAUCUCCAAUGAGUAAGCAUCCAAUUGAAAUAUCGGAGCUUGAUGAAUUUUUAGCUCAAUUGCUUCAAUAACUUUACAAGUUACUAUGGUAAUUUACUGCCAAUAGGGUAAGCUAUACAGUGAUUGGGCACUUAAGAAACUUACUGCAAAUAAUAAAGUUGUUUAUUCAGAUUUAAAUCAAAUGUAUGCAUAUAUUUUUGUGGUUUAAUGGAGAGUUCUAACCAGUUUUUUUUUAAAUUACUAUUUAUAUAAAUGUUUUUGAAAUUAAAAAAAAUAAGAAUAA